GUUUUUGUUUGCAUCGCUGCCGCUCCCCUGCCCCCAGCCCAAGAAAGUCUGCUUUGCCUGCUAACUAACGUGGCAAAGGACUUUUGAGCAUGCGAUGUCUGCCAUUCCCAGGGAGGCGGCCCUCCCCAGGUCGCCGCUUCACUGCCCACCUUACCCAGGAGCGCCCCCGGUUUUGUGCACAGGCAUUCCCGGUGGCCAGAGGCAGAGGAAGAGCCCUGACUCGUGGGGGCUCGUAAUGUUCUUCUGGCUUCUGGGAGCCCUGGGUGUGCCUGGGGGUGCGCGAAUUCCUUUACUAACGUCCUUAACCGCAGACUGGGCUCCUCCCCUCCUGGUCCCUGCUGCUCCUCUCUCCGUGGGAAGGGAGUUUGCCUCCGGGACCGCUUGGGCUGCCUCCUGCGUGUGCUGCAUUUCGGUUGCCGUGCCCUCUCCCCUUUGGUCUUGAGCUCAGGCAGCGGGGGAGGGCUUUCCUUCCAGACCUGCACCUCCUCUGUGUUUCCUUGGCAUGGUUUCUCUGUGUGAUCGUGUUCUCCAAAAGUCUUCCACCCAGACCCCCACCCUCAUCGCACCGGCUUUCUCCACAGGCCCGAGCCGGGCUCUUUACACGGACUCCCGAGCCCGUUCCCGUGAAUAUCAUUUUCCCUGUUACUGUUAAGUUGUUGUUGGGUCUUUUUACAUUCAGGUACCUCCACCUUGCUAAGUUUAGUUGCUUUGCUUUUAGGUGCCCAGGUGUCGUAACCUUAGGAUCUCCCUUGUCAGGGUCACCCAGCAGCAUGAUGGGCUUUUCUCACUUUUCUCUCGUUCACCUUUCACUCUGCAUGUUCAUCACUCUGCAUUCUCGUCAAAGUCGCUAUCCUCAAGUACAUCGAGACGCUGGCCCAGCAGAUGGACCCGGGGGAUUUUGUCAACUCCAGUGAAACACGCCUGGCCGUGUCUCGGAUCAUCACUUGGACCACGGAACCCAAAAGUUCUGACGUCCGGAAGGCAGCUCAGGCCGUGCUCAUCUCCCUGUUUGAGCUCAACACUCGGGAG
rnacentral:lncRNA from 1 species